rnacentral:tRNA from 1 species
AGGGCUGUGACUCAGUGGUAGAGCAUCUGCUUGGCAUGCAGAAGGUCCCAGGUACAAUCCCCAGCAACUUCU